rnacentral:tRNA from 1 species
GGAGGGGUGGCAGAGCGGCUGAAUGCACCGGUCUUGAAAACCGGCGUGGGGUCAAACCCACCGAGAGUUCGAAUCUCUCCUCCUCCGCCA